UCUCCACGUUUGCUACACUACUAUUUCAGUAAUCUUAAUAAUUCUCUGAAGAAGACAAUGUUUUCAUAGUGUUCGACUAGAUAGACUGAGAGUCACACAUUUUAUUUUUGUUUUGUGACAUUUGUGGCUCUUCAGCGUGACACUGGCAUUCUUCCUCCUCUGAUGCAACUUCCUUCUCUGUUUCACUCUGUUUUGGUCGAGGUUGUUUCAACCUCCCCCCUUCUCUGUGCAGUCUUUCAGCUGGACCAGGAGAGCCCGAGCUGUCGCUUUGUUUUCUGAACAUCCACUUCUGUUUCCUGUGGCAACACCUGCAGAUAAAUACGUAGCUGGCUACCCAAACGGACACUGCCCGCACCCCCCAGACGCUCUCCUCCGCAGGCCCGCGCAGACCCAGGUAUGUGCACACAUGCGUGCUCAGCUCCUCCACCCUCCCCCGGGGAGCUCAGAGGACUCCAGCUGUUUUCCGGCCCUGGCAGCAGAAGCGGCUGCAGAGCCUCUAAUGUUCCUUCUCUGGAACCAGCGCUGAUCGUGCUGCUGCUGCUGCUGCCAGAGAAGGAUUUAAGUCACCUGGACUGAGGAGAAGACCGCUGAACUGUGUAAAGACGGUGGAGCCAGAUACUUCAGGCUAUUUGAAGCCAUCAGAGGGGAAGGAACCAGACUUGGGGUUCCUCCACCCGAAGCGUGUUGCCCGCAUUGUUGACAACCACGUACUGAUAUUUCAAGACUCAGCUCAAGCAUAAUAAUCUCUGAAGCUUUUCCUGAUAGGCUGCCUGGCCCUUCUAUACCUGUAACAUCGUUAUUUCAUUUAGUUAACAUUGGAAAUGAAGAGCCCACUGUGAUGGUGUGAGGAUGCCCCCUCCCCCCCCCCACCCCCAAACAUGUGAAAAUAACUCAGCAAAAAACAGAGCAGCUGCCUGGUCAUCUUCCCCAUCACUGGGAUUUCUUCAGGUAACCAAUAAAUAGGAGCAUAGAGUUGGUAGAGGGAGCCAAUGUUUCCAGAAGAAACCGUGCCACUCCAAAGGGAAAUUAGAAAAGGAGAAAGUGACCCUUGAAUAAAGAAGAGUUUAUGCAUUUAAAGACCCCUCUCCGGGAUUCUUGGCAGGAAGAGUUCACUUUCCUGCUGCAUCAGGGAUUGGAAGGCUAUUCCUCUGUCCAUGGUCCUAUUCCUCUGCUUCAAACAACUUUAGAAGAAUCCAGAGGGAGGUUCAAAUCUGCAAUGUAGAAAAGCAUUGAAGUGUUCUAGAUACAGCUGAGAAGCUGAGAGAAGACGGAAUUUGUGGGUAUAGCAGAUCUUUGGAAUCUUUGAAAAGAAGUUCUGUCGGCAGUAGAUCCCACCAGCAGAAGGGGAUCCUGCUGGACAGCCAUUCUUUUCAAUAUUGAUGAACAGCAUCUAUCCGUGGAGUGAGCUCCACUUGAGCUGAAGCCUGCUUGGUAAGAAUGACACUAUCAUCUCCCUAACAUUUCAUAUUUUGAAAGAAAGCCCUUCCCAUUCCUGAUGCUUCUCAUCAUUUUUUCCCAACACUCCAGUAAGACCAGUCAACAUUCACCUGUGCUUUUAUAGCGAUGAAGAGAGACUAACAAACUCAGUAACUCAACUGAGAAAGACAUUUUAUGGGCAGCCCAUGGUAAUCGCCUAUCUUUUAAAAAGAAACAACAUUUUUUGAGAUCCCAGGAGGUGUCUGGCACUACACGAAGUGGUAUGAGCAUGAGAGUGCAGAACAUAAUGUUUGGGAACAUAGUGUUCCUCCGGGGACUUAAAAAUUAAUGCAGAUCCAAAACUGUUUAAAAAAAUGUGGGUUGUAAUAAAUUAUGGGAAAACAAAGUGAAAGGUGUAGGGACAAAAAUCCCAAGCAUAGUGAUGGAACUAGAGACCAUGGAAAUGGAAUAUGAUGAGCCAAUUAACCUCAGGAGAACAGAGACUCAUGGUAUGGGCAGAAUACAAGACGCUUAUCUUGAGAAGUCAAUUUUGCAGACUCAGUUACUUGUCCACACACACAAAAUCAAUAGCUAUUUCUGAUAGGCUGCUGGCAAAAAAAAAAAAAAUACUGUUCUUUUCUAUAGAUGGAGUCUAAACCAUCCAGCAUACAAUGAAGUGUUUAAGAGAAAAAAUAUAUGUGGGCUGGCAAUCUUUCAAUCUGUAAAGCUGGUGAUCUAGUUUUGGGUGAUAGCUCUAAUGGAAAUAGGUGCAAUUGGGUUUGUAGAUACUGAUUUUUAUCAGCAACCAGAAACUGUGCUAAAAGCUCAAUUUGGCCUACUUUAGGUUCCCCGGCUAAGUUAGCGAGGGAAUUUUCAUUAGGUUAUUUGAAGAAUAAGAAGAAAUAAAGCAAUGCAUGAACACCAUGAUAUGUAGGUGAGAAGGUAUCUUAAUAGAAAUAGUACUCUAGUCUAGAACAGUGUUUCCCCACCAAGGUGAUGGAAAGUACUGGGAAAUGCAGAGACCUAACUUGUCCUCAGACUGAGCUUUCUUCAUUGCCCCGGCUUUCCAGUUUUAAUAACUUCAGCCUUGCUAACCUGCCAGUACUAGGGAAGUCAGUUUCAUGUACUGAUGUCAGCCUCUAAUUUGAACUCCCUCAUGGUCAUUGCAACUUUGUUCACUUUUGUAAUUAUUUUUUCACAUUUUCUUGUUUUAUAGCAAUACGAAAAGAUAAAAAUACCUAGAAAUGUUUUUUUUUUUCCAAUGUUGAAGGGAAUAAUUUAGACAGUCACUUCCACAUGGAUAUCUAAUAGGCAUCUCAAACUGAGUACGGCCAAAAGAGAAGUCUUGAUUCUUUCUCUUAAUCUUCUUGAAUCAAACAACCCCAAGAGGCUUAAAUAGAGUUUUACUUUUUUCAUAAAGAGAUGUCUGGAAAUAGGUUAUUUCUGGUGUUGAUUCAGCUGCUCAACUACACCAUCAAGGACCUAGGUAGUUUCUCUUUUUUCCUGUCACUAUCCUUAACAUGUUGGCCUUUAAUUAUCCUGUCUUUUAUUUUGUAGUCACAAGAUGGCUGCUGUGACUCCAGGCAUCGUGAUGGUGCUCAAGAUAGCCAAAUUUGUCCCCAGAAGGCUUUCUCUUAGGUCUCAUUAGCCAGAAAUGAAUCAUUCCUGGCUGCAAAGGAGAUGGGGAAAUUGAGUAUCUAGCAAAAGAGAAUGGGAUUAUUAUAAUUGAAUUGUACUGAUCAUGAUUCAUCACUUGGAGCUGGACAUAUUGUCACCCUCAACAAAGUCAGGGCUCUGUUAGCAAGGAGGAAGAGAACAGCUGUUGGAGAGGGAAGUGACACAGACUGCCACACUUCUUAUUCCCAGCCUACCUGUCUCACUGAAUAGCAUCACCAUCUGCCCAGUGCCUGAGCCAGUAACAGAGGAGAGAGCUUGGAUUCCUUUGUUUCUCUUAUGUCCCCCAUAAAAAAAUACCACACAGUUCUGUUGACUCUACUUCCCCUAUGUACCCCUAAUCCACUCUAUUCGCCCUUAGUCACUGGUAUCCUAGUUCAAGCUACCAUUGUUCACCUGAAUUACUAAAACUGCCCCCUAAAGAAACAGAAACAAUCACUUCCUUGUUUAGAACCUCCCAUCGGCUUCCCAUCUCAUCUAAAAUCCAAAUUUCUUACACUGACCUUCCAUGCCUAGAAGAUCUAGGUUCUGCUCACUGGUCCAACUUUAUCUUGUUCCACUUUUCUGUUUGCCCCUGACUUCCAACCACGCAGGGUUUCUUUCUCUUCCUCUGACGCUAACUUGUUACCAUCUUGGGAACCUUGGAACCACCUGUUUUCUCCAUCUAGAGUGCUAUGCAUUUCUGAUCUUUUCAUGACCAGCCCCUCCUUGUCAUUUAGAUCACUGUUCAAAUGUCGUCUCUUCAGAGAGGUCUUCUCUGGCCACCAAUCUAAAACAGCAAACUGGUUGGUCAUCCAUCACUUCAUUCUAUUUCAUUUCUUUAUGUUUGCACCUACCACUGUCUAACAUUAUCUUAUUUACCACUUUAUGUGUCAUGUAUGCAAUGUAACUAUUUAUUUCCCACCUCCUUCACACUAGAAUAUCAGCUCCAUGACAGGAGAGACCUUGUGUGUUCUGUUCACAGCUGUAUUCCUAGCACCUAGAUCAAUGCACAUGGCAGGUUCUCAUCAAAUAUUUCUGAGUGAAUGAAUACACGAGGGGAAAGAUUUUUUUUAAGCGGAAACUUUAGCUAUAAAAGAACAUCUGUAAACUAUUAUCAGCAUCCUUAGAGUUGUCCUUCACAGAGAAAAAUAACUUUGUUAGUUGAAGGAUGUAAAAUGUGUUAUGCUUUAAAGACAUCACAAUUAAUAAGCAAUACUAAUUUCUUCCACACAGCCUCUUUCCUCCUGUGUCCUACUUUCCAAAGCUUAACAAGCCGCAUGUCUUCAUGCUCUAUCAGUGCAGUUACUAAAUGCCUUCUCCAUGGACUUCUCUCUUUUUGCUCCAAUAAUGUGAUUACAUUUUCUGACCAUUUUCUGAAGUUCUGGGACAAUUUAAAAGAAACAUUUGGGCGAUGUCCUCCUUUCCUCCAUUUUUUGGCCAGAAUUUCAAGACGGGGAAAACCAAAAUGUUCUUGGACAAAGAGAGAAAUAUUUAGCAUCUAAAAUUUUCUGCUUUUUUGUGAGGUUCUCAUAUUUCUGUAUAUGUUCUUCCUAAAGGCUAAAACCGUUUGUACUCUCUUCACCAGAAAUCCAGACUUUUCGUAAGACUGUCCUUUGGGUAAAAUGUUAAAAUUGGAGAGAUUGAUCGGCAGCCUUCAUUCAUUUCCCUCCAUGAUCCUUUUAGUCCUUUCCACACCUUCUCAGUCCUGAGGCAACCUUUUGUAAGCCCAGGCUUCUGGAUCAGCAGCCGGCUGGGCCCACGGGCUCAGCCUGCAUACCAGACAUCCCGUGCAUCUGGCGGGCCAUAGCACAUGGAAAUUGUGCACCAGAAGCUUUGAGAAGUUCAACCUCUUCACACUGGGGAUACAGCAUUCUGGUGAUGGAGAUCCAGCAUACUCUAAAAUGCCCCUAUGUUUAGAAACGUUCCCCAAUACUGCUCAUAAAUUACACACAAAGAAUCCCGGGGUGUUUGAACUUCUGGACUUGUCAACAGAAAAUAGCAAGCAAAAUGAUUCUCAUCCUCAAAGGUCUGUGAAUACAUCAUAAACAAGAAUAAACUGUUCCUCUGUACUUAACACAAUCUCAGCCUCUUGCCUGUCUUCGCCUGCCAUCACCAACCCCCCCCCCCCCAACACACCCAUGUCUAACUUCACACCUACAUCUUAACACUUGGACAUUCACAGGCCCCUGAAACAAAACA